ACGGGGUGCAGCAGGCGCGAAAACUUCGCAAUGCGCGAAAGCGUGACGAGGGAACCCCAAGUGCCGUUGGUCUUUUGAUCGACGGCUUUUCGGGAGUCUAAGAAGCUUCCGGAAUAAGGGCUGGGCAAGUCUGGUGCCAGCCGCCGCGGUAAUACCAGCAGCCCAAGUGGUGGUCGCGUUUAUUGGGCCUAAGGCGCUCGUAGCCGGGCUUGCAAGUCCCUUGUGAAAUCGGACGGCUCAACCGUUCGGCGUGCAAGGGAUACUGCUAGCCUUGGGAUCGGGAGAGGUCGGGGGUACUUCGGGGGUAGCGGUGAAAUGCUGUAAUCCCUGGGGGACCACCAGUGGCGAAGGCGCCCGACCAUAACGGAUCCGACGGUGAGGGGCGAAGGCUAGGGGAGCGAACGGGAUUAGAUACCCCGGUAGUCCUAGCAGUAAAGGAUGCGGGCUGGGUGUCAGGCGCCCUUCGAGAGCGCCUAGUGCCGUAGGGAAGCCGUUAAGCCCGCCGCCUGGGAAGUACGGUCGCAAGGCUGAAACUUAAAGGAAUUGGCGGGGGAGCAC
rnacentral:rRNA from 1 species